AUACCAAGGGUUACAAUUAAAAGCCUACGCAAGCUUGCUUGCAGGAGGCUUUUUGAAUUCGUAACCCGUACCACAUGAGCAAGCAGCCAUUUUCGAAGAAAAUGAGCGGAUUGCGAAUGCGGUCCAGAUUGAGAGAGUGCGAAGCACGAAGCAAUCUGGAUGG
rnacentral:sRNA from 1 species